CCGGUGACGUAUCCUUCAAAUGUCUGACUUAUCAGCUGUCGAUGGUAGACUCUGUGUCUACCAUGGCGCUCACGGGUGACGGGGAAUCAGGGUUCGAUUCCGGAGAGGGAGCCUGAGAAACGGCUACCACAUCCAAGGAAGGCAGCAGGCACGCAAAUUACCCACUCCCGGCACGGGGAGGUAGUGACAAAAAAUAACGAUACGGGACUCAUCCGAGGCCCCGUAAUCGGAAUGAGAACACUCUAAAUCCUUUAACGAAAAUCUAUUGGAGGGCAAGUCUGGUGCCAGCAGCCGCGGUAAUUCCAGCUCCAAUAGCGUAUAUUAAAGUUGUUGCGGUUAAAAAGCUCGUAGUUGGUUCUGCGUGCCACGCUGUCGGUUCACCGCCUGCCGGUGCAACUGGCAUGCCGUGGCAUGUCCUGUCGGUGGCGGAUAGGCCCCGUUGCGUGCCCUAUGCGGCAAACCACCGUGUAGGUUGCGGCGCAGCGGGUGUCCUUGUACGCCGGCUCAAUCCUACCGCGGUGCUCUUUACCGAGUGUCGAGGUAGGCCGACACUGUUUACUUUGAACAAAUUAGAGUGCUUAAAGCAGGCUCUUAAAUCAGCCUGAAUAGUGGUGCAUGGAAUAAUGGAACAGGACCUUGGUUCUAUUUUGUUGGUUUUCGGAAUCCAAGGUAAUGAUCAAUAAGGACAGGCGGGGGCAUUCGUACUGCGACGUUAGAGGUGAAAUUCUUGGAUCGUCGCAAGACGCACUAAAGCGAAAGCAUUUGCCAAGUAUGUCUUAUUGAUC
rnacentral:rRNA from 1 species